rnacentral:tRNA from 1 species
GGGGUUGUGGCUCAGUGGUAGAGCACCUGCCUUGAAUGUGUGGGGCACUGGGUUCAAUCCUCAGCACCA